rnacentral:rRNA from 1 species
GACGAACGCUGGCGGCGUGCCUAAUACAUGCAAGUCGAACGAGUGGCGGACGGGUGAGUAACACGUGGGUAACCUACCCACAGAGGGGGAUAACACUUGGAAACAGGUGCUAAUACCGAAUAAAGGGGGAUGGUCUCGCGGCCUAUCAGCUUGUUGGUUGGGUGAUGGCCUACCAAGGCGGUGACGGGUAGCCGGCCUGAGAGGGUGAACUGCCACAUUGGGACUGGGAUACGGCCCAGACUCCUAAGGGAGGCAGCAGUGGGGGAUAUUGCACAAUGGGCGAAAGCCUGAUGCAGCGACGCCGCGUGAGUGAUGACGGCCUUCGGGUUGGAAAGCUCUGUUAAUCGGGACGCGGUACCGGAAUAGAAAGCCACGGCUAACUACGUGCCAGCCGCCGCGGUAAUUC